rnacentral:rRNA from 1 species
UACGUAGGGUGCAAGCGUUGUCCGGAAUUAUUGGGCGUAAAGAGCUCGUAGGCGGUCUGUCGCGUCGGCUGUGAAAACUUGGGGCUCAACCCCAAGCCUGCAGUCGAUACGGGCAGACUAGAGUGCGGUAGGGGAGACUGGAAUUCCUGGUGUAGCGGUGAAAUGCGCAGAUAUCAGGAGGAACACCGGUGGCGAAGGCGGGUCUCUGGGCCGUAACUGACGCUGAGGAGCGAAAGCCAGGGGAGCAAACGGG